rnacentral:lncRNA from 1 species
GAACUUCAGAUUUGAUGUGUUUGAAAAUGAUCUGUACUGAAACUCCAUUUUUUUAAUCAACUCCUUAUAGCCUGCACUGUUUUUCUUGUGUUCAUAGUACAACAAUAGUUAUAUGGAUAUUUUUUAGGAUUUGAUUGCCAAUUCAUAAAGACUGGUAUUCUCUUAAUUUAUAAGCUCUCGGAGAAACUUUAGCUGGAAAGUUAGAUUAGCAUUUUGGGAUAUUUUCUCAUAUCAAUUACUUUUGUAGCUCCUGACAAAUAUAUU